GCUGACAAGUCUCGUGUUUCACCCACAAAGAAACUGGUUCAAACGGAGGAGGACAUGGCGGAAUGUUCCAUUGUGCUAAAUCCUGUGUGGUUUAGUAAGGAGCUUCUUCAAACUUUGGGCGAUGGCACCAUUCACAUCCCAGCCCCUGUGUCCGCACCUGGUCCAAAGGGCCCAAAGAAGGCAGUGAAAGAACGUCGCCACCAUCAGUUUGCUACCAAGAAGACAGUGCUUUUGCAGCAG